rnacentral:rRNA from 1 species
GACGAGCGCUGGCGGCGUGCUUAACACAUGCAAGUCGAACGGAAAGGCCCUGCUUGCAGGGUGCUCGAGUGGCGAACGGGUGAGUAACACGUGGGUGAUCUGCCCCUUACUUUGGGAUAAGCCUGGGAAACUGGGUCUAAUACUGGAUAGGACCAUGCUGUAGGUGGUGUGGUGGAAAGAUUAGUUUCGGUAAGGGAUGAGCUCGCGGCCUAUCAGCUUGUUGGUGGGGUAAUGGCCUACCAAGGCGUCGACGGGUAGCCGGCCUGAGAGGGUGGACGGCCACAUUGGGACUGAGAUACGGCCCAGACUCCUACGGGAGGCAGCAGUGGGGAAUAGUGCACAAUGGGCGCAAGCCUGAUGCAGCGACGCCGCGUGGGGGAUGACGGCCUUCGGGUUGUAAACUCCUUGCAGCCAUGACGAAGCCCUUGUGGUGACGGUAGUGGUAGAAGAAGCACCGGCUAACUACGUG